rnacentral:rRNA from 1 species
AUUGAACGCUGGCGGCAGGCUUAACACAUGCAAGUCGAACGAGUGGCGGACGGGUGAGUAAUGCUUGGGAAUCUGGCUUAUGGCGGGGGAUAACGACGGGAAACUGUCGCUAAUACCGCGUACUAUAGGAUGAGCCCACGUGGUAGUAGGUAGGUGGUGGGGUAAUGGCCUACCAAGCCGACGACCUCUAGCUGGUCUGAGAGGAUGACACGCCCCACCGGGACUGAGACACGGCCCGGACUACUACGGGAGGGAGCAGUGGGGAAUAUUGCGCAAUGGGGGCAACCUGACGCAGCCAUGCCGCGUGAAUGAAGAAGGCCUUCGGGUUGUAAAGUUCUUUCGGUGACGAGGCGUUAAUCACAGAAGAAGCACCGGCUAACUCCGUGCCAGCAGCCGCGGUAAUUC